rnacentral:rRNA from 1 species
GAUGAACGCUGACAGAAUGCUUAACACAUGCAAGUCUUUGGCGAAGCUGUGCUUGCACAGCCUAGCCAAGGCGGACGGGUGAGUAACGCGUAAGGAACUUGCCCUGCAGUCAGGGAUAACAGACGGAAACGACUGAUAAGACCUGGUAAAGUCAGGCGGACUCAUGUCCAGCCUGAUGAAAAGAGAUGCUGCAGGAGAGCCUUGCGUCCUAUUAGCUUGUUGGUGGGGUAACGGCCCACCAAGGCGAUGAUAGGUAGCCGGCCUGAGAGGGUGGACGGCCAAAAGGGGACUGAGAUACGGCCCUUACUCCUACGGGAGGCAGCAGUGGGGAAUAUUGGACAAUGGGGGCAACCCUGAUCCAGAAAUUCUGUGUGCACGAUGAAGGUUUUCGGAGUGUAAAGUGCUUUCAGCAGGGAAGAAAAAAAUGACGGUACCUGCAGAAGAAGCGACGGCUAAAUACGUG